rnacentral:lncRNA from 1 species
UUCUGUGGGUGCCACGUCUCGGUUCAAGGGGGCAGUGUCCGGAGCGGUGGUUUGGAGUUUCAGGGACACGUCAAGGUCAUGAGGACGGCGGGAUAGAAGAGCUGAAGUCCAGGAGACUCAGAAAUCUCGGUUGUUGGCUGACACUCAAAGGGUGCCUCAAAGCCAGCGGAGUUCCCAGG